AUGAAGGACCUUGGAGAAGCUGCUUACAUAUUAGGCAUCAAGAUCUAUAGGGAUAGAUCGAGACGCCUCAUAGGUCUUUCACAAAGCACAUACCUUGAUAAGAUUUUGAAGAAGUUCAAAAUGGAUCAGUCCAAGAAAGGGUUCUUGCCUGUACUACAAGGUGUGAGAUUGAGCUCGGCUCAAUGCCCGACCACAGCAGAAGAUAAAGAAGAGAUGAGUGGCAUCCCCUAUGCCUCAGCCAUAGGAUCUAUUAUGUAUGCUGUGCUGUGUACCAGACCAGAUGUAAACCUUGCCGUAAGUUUGGUAGGAAGGUACCAAAGUAAACCCGGCAAGGAACACUAG
rnacentral:rRNA from 1 species